rnacentral:sRNA from 1 species
GGGUCUCCUACCAGAAAGCCAUGUUCAUAUUUCUCAGCAAUGCUGGAGCAGAGAGGAUCACAGAUGUGGCUUUGGAUUUCUGGAGGAGUGGAAAGCAGAGGGAAGACAUCAAGCUCAAAGACAUUGAACACGCCUUGUCUGUGUCGGUUUUCAAUAACAAGAACAGUGAGUAGGGCCAUCCACCGCCAGUCCCAUCUGGUUCCUAAUCCUGCACCCUAAGUGUUAAAGCGUCGGGGUCACUGUCAGCAUCACCUGGGAGCUGGGUAGAAAGAAAUGCAGAUUCUCAGUCCCCCUCCGAGUCAUGAGGGAAAUCUUUGCUGACAAACUCCAGGUGGCUUCUGGCACAGCAGCUUAAUUGACCGGAACCUCAUUGAUUAUUUUGUUCCCUUCCUCCCCCUGGAAUACAAACACCUAAAAAUGUGUAUCCGAGUGGAAAUGCAGUCCCGAGGCUAUGAAAUUGAUGAAGACAUUGUAAGCAGAGUGGCUGAGGAGAUGACAUUUUUCCCCAAAGAGGAGAGAGUUUUCUCGGAUAAAGGCUGCAAAACAGUGUUCACCAAGUUAGAUUAUUACUACGAUGAUUGACAGUCAUGACUGGCAGCCAGAGUCACUGCCUGGAGUUGGUAAAGAAACAACACUCAGUCCUUCCACACUUCCGCCCCCAGCUCCUUUCCCUGGAAGAGGAAUCCAGUGAAUAUUUCCUGUUUGAUGUGACAGGAACUCUCCCUGGCAUUGUUUCCACCCCCUGGUGCCUGCAGGCCACCCAGGGACCAUGGGCGAGGACGUGAAGCCUCCCGAACACGCACAGAAGGAAGGAGCCAGCUCCCAGCCCACUCAUCACAGGGCUCAUGAUUUUUUACAAAUUAUGUUUUAAUUCCAAGUGUUUCUGUUUCAAGGAAGGAUGAAUAAGUUUUAUUGAAAAUGUGGUAACUUUAUUUAAAAUGAUUUUU